UACCCAAGCGGGUAUGAGAAUGGAUACAUGUAUUUUUUCAACGUGCGGGUAUGGGAAUAGGUAUCAUAGUACUCUUACCAUACCUUACCAAUUGUCAUCCCUAAUAAUCAAAAUAUUUAUCAUAAAAUAAUUAUAUAGAAAUAUUUUCAAUGAUACAUCAUAAUUUUAGUCUAAGUUUUAAUCUCCCAAAAUUCUUAUCAUUGAUAUUAUAAAAAUUUAAUUUUAAAUUUAAUCCACCCGUGCGAAGCACGGGUAAAACCCUAGU
rnacentral:lncRNA from 1 species